rnacentral:rRNA from 1 species
AUGGCCAGACCAGCGCCGUCGCCGCUGCUCCUGUUGGUCGUGCUGGCCGGCGCGCUGGCCGGCGGAGGCGAGGCGGCGCUGCUGAAGGCGCACUUCUAUAGGCCCAGCUGCCCCGCGGCGGAGGCGGUGGUGCGCGACAUCGUGCUGGCCCGCGUCGCCGCCGACCCCGCCGCGCUGCCCGCGAGGCUGCUCCGCCUCUUCUUCCACGACUGUUUCGUCAGGGGGUGCGACGCGUCGCUGCUGAUCGACUCGACGGCGGGCAACACCGCGGAGAAGGACGCCGGGCCGAACGGGUCGCUGGGCGGCUUCGACAUCAUCGACACCGCCAAGGCCGUGCUGGAGGCCGUCUGCCCCGGCGUCGUCUCCUGCGCCGACAUCGUCGCGCUCGCUGCAAGGGACGCCAUCUCCUUCCAGUUCGGUCGUGACCUGUGGGACGUGCAGCUCGGGCGGCGCGACGGCGUGGUGUCGAGCGCGUCGGAGGCGCUGUCCAACAUACCCUCGCCGUCGGAUAACUUCCCACCCUCGAGGCCAAAUUCGCCAGCAAGGGCCUCGACGUCAAGGACCUCGUCAUUCUCUCGGCGCGCACACCAUCGGCGUCGGCCACUGCAACCUCUUCGGCAGCCGCCUCUUCAGCUCCACCACCACCGGUGUUGCCCCCGCCACCGACCCGACCCUCAACGCCGCCUACGCCACUCAGCUGCGCGCCGCGUGUGGGUCGCCCUCCAACAACGUCACCGCCGUGCCUAUGGACCCCGGCAGCCCUGCCCGGUUCGACUCCCACUACUACGUCAACCUCAAGCUCGGCCGUGGCCUGUUCCGCUCCGACGCCGCACUGCUGCCGACCGCCGCGCCGCCGGCAUGAUCCACGCGCUGACCAAGGAAGGCUACUUCCUGCAGGAGUUCAAGAACGCCGUGCGCAAGAUGGGCCGCGUCGGCGUGCUCACCGGCGGGCAAGGAGAGAUCAGGAGAAACUGCAGGGCCGUCAACUCAUGA